rnacentral:rRNA from 1 species
UUUCCAGAGAUGGAUUGGUGCCUUCGGGAACCGUGAGACAGGUGCUGCAUGGCUGUCGUCAGCUCGUGUUGUGAAAUGUUGGGUUAAGUCCCGCAACGAGCGCAACCCUUAUCCUUUGUUGCCAGCGAUUCGGUCGGGAACUCAAAGGAGACUGCCAGUGAUAAACUGGAGGAAGGUGGGGAUGACGUCAAGUCAUCAUGGCCCUUACGACCAGGGCUACACACGUGCUACAAUGGCGCAUACAAAGAGAAGCGACCUCGCGAGAGCAAGCGGACCUCAUAAAGUGCGUCGUAGUCCGGAUUGGAGUCUGCAACUCGACUCCAUGAAGUCGGAAUCGCUAGUAAUCGUGGAUCAGAAUGCCACGGUGAAUACGUUCCCGGGCCUUGUACACACCGCCCGUCACACCAUGGGAGUGGGUUGCAAAAGAAGUAGGUGGCUUAACCUUCGGGAGGGCGCUUACCACUUUGUGAUUCAUGACUGGGGUGAAGUCGUAACAAGGUAACCGUAGGGGAACCUGCGGUUGGAUCACCUCCUUACCUUAAAGAAGC